rnacentral:rRNA from 1 species
GUGUCAGCCGCCGCGGUAAGACGGAGGGGGCUAGCGUUGUUCGGAAUUACUGGGCGUAAAGCGCGCGUAGGCGGCUUGCCAAGUUGGGGGUGAAAGCCCGGAGCUCAACUCCGGAAUUGCCUCCAAAACUGGCUCGCUGGAGUCCGGGAGAGGAGAGUGGAAUACCCAGUGUAGAGGUGAAAUUCGUAGAUAUUGGGUGGAACACCAGUGGCGAAGGCGGCUCUCUGGUCCGGUACUGACGCUGAGGCGCGAAAGCGUGGGGAGCAAACAGGAUUAGAUACCCUGGUAGUCCACGCCGUAAACGAUGAGUGCCAGAUGUUGGGGAGAUUCACCUCCUCAGUGUCGCAGUUAACGCAUUAAGCACUCCGCCUGGGGAGUACGGCCGCAAGGUUAAAACUUAAAGGAAUUGGCGGGG